CCCUUAGAUGUUCUGGGCUGCACGCGCGCUACACUGAUGCACUCAACGAGUUUACGACCUUGCCCGAUAGGGUUGGGUAAUCUUUUUAAAAUGCAUCGUGAUGGGGAUAGAUUAUUGUAAUUAUUAAUCUUCAACGAGGAAUUCCUAGUAAGCGCGAGUCAUCAGCUCGUGCUGAUUACGUCCCUGCCCUUUGUACACACCGCCCGUCGCUCCUACCGAUUGAGUGCUCAGGUGAAUAAUUCGGACUGCAGCAAUGUUUGGAUCCCGAACGUUGCAGCGGAAAGUUUAGUGAACCUUAUCACUUAGAGGAAGGAGAAGUCGUAACA
rnacentral:rRNA from 1 species